rnacentral:rRNA from 1 species
UACGUAGGGGCAAGCGUUGUCCGGAUUUAUUGGGCGUAAAGAGCGUGUAGGCGGCCAGGUAGGUCCGUUGUGAAAACUCGAGGCUCAACCUCGAGACGUCGACGGAAACCAUUUGGGCUAGAGUCCGGAAGAGGAGAGUGGAAUUCCUGGUGUAGCGGUGAAAUGCGCAGAUAUCAGGAAGAACACCUAUGGCGAAGGCAGCUCUCUGGGACGGUACUGAGCUAGACGCGAAAAGCGUGGGGGAGCGAAACAGG